rnacentral:rRNA from 1 species
GACGAACGCUGGCGGCGUGCUUAACACAUGCAAGUCGAACGAUGAAGCUGGAGCUUGCUCCGGUGGAUUAGUGGCGAACGGGUGAGUAACACGUGAGAAAUCUGCCCUUGACUCUGGGAUAACUGCGGGAAACUGUAGCUAAUACCGGAUAUUUUCCUUGGUGGGCAUCCACUGGGGAAGAAAGAAUUUCGGUCAAGGAUGAUCUCGCGGCCUAUCAGCUAGUUGGUGAGGUAAUGGCUCACCAAGGCGACGACGGGUAGCCGGCCUGAGAGGGUGACCGCCCAACCGGGGACGAAGACACGGCCCAGACUCCUACGGGAGGAAGCAGUGGGGAAUAGUGCACAAUGGGCGCAAGCCUGAUGCAGCAACGCCGCGUGAGGGAUGAAGGCCUUCGGGUUGUAAACCUCUUUUAGCAGGGAAGAAGCGAAAGUGACGGUACCUGCAGAAAAAGCACCGGCUAACUACGUGCCAGCCGCCGCCGUAA